GGGAAAGGUGAAAAGUAGCCCGACAAGGGGAGUGAAAUAGAACCUGAAACCGGAUGCCUACAAGCAGUCGGAGGGCGCAAGCCUGACGGCGUACCUUUUGUAUAAUGGGUCAACGACUUAGUGUAACUAGCAAGCUUAAGCCGGUAGGUGUAGGCGCAGCGAAAGCGAGUCUGAAUAGGGCGAUUGAGUUAGUUGCAUUAGACCCGAAACCGAGUGAUCUAGCCAUGAGCAGGCUGAAGGUUGGGUAACACCAACUGGAGGGCCGAACCCGCAUCUGUUGCAAUAGAUUGGGAUGACUUGUGGCUAGGGGUGAAAGGCCAAUCAAACUCGGAGAUAGCUGGUUCUCCGCGAAAUCUAUUUAGGUAGAGCGUCGAGCGAAUACCUCAGGGGGUAGAGCACUGGAUGGGCUAUGGGGACUCACCGUCUUACUGAUCCUAACCAAACUGCGAAUACCUGAGAGUACUACUCGGCAGACACACGGCGGGUGCUAACGUCCGUCGUGAAGAGGGCAACAACCCUGACCUCCAGCUAAGGUCCCCAAGUCAUGGCUAAGUGGGAAAGGAUGUGAGGAUCCCAAAACAACCAGGAUGUUGGCUUAGAAGCAGCCAUCAUUUAAAGAAAGCGUAACAGCUCACUGGUCUAAUCAAGGGUCUUUGCGCCGAAAAUGUAACGGGGCUAAAGCCAUGCACCGAAGCUGAGGAUUUGCCGCAAGGCAAGUGGUAGCGGAGCGUUCCGUAAGUCUGUGAAGGCGGACCCGUGAGGGCUGCUGGAGAUAUCGGAAGUGCGAAUGUUGACAUGAGUAACGAUAAAGAGGGUGAGAGACCCUCUCGCCGAAAGACCAAGGGUUCCUGCUUAAAGUUAAUCUGAGCAGGGUUAGCCGGCCCCUAAGACGAGGCAGACAUGCGUAGUCGAUGGGAACCACGUUAAUAUUCGUGGGCCUGGUGGUAGUGACGGAUCGCGAAAGUUGUUCACUCUUAUUGGAUUGAGUGGGCAGCGGGGCGGUUCCAGGAAACAGCUCCACCUUAUAGACCGUACCCGAAACCGACACAGGUGGUCAGGUAGAGCAUACCAAGGCGCUUGAGAGAACGAUGUUGAAGGAACUCGGCAAAUUGCACGCGUAACUUCGGAAGAAGCGUGACCCCAGAUUGGGCAACCAUUUUGGGGUGGCACAGACCAGGGGGUAGCGACUGUUUAUCAAAAACACAGGGCUCUGCGAAGUCGAAAGACGACGUAUAGGGUCUGACGCCUGCCCGGUGCUGGAAGGUUAAGAGGAGGGGUGCAAGCUCUGAAUCGAAGCCCCAGUAAACGGCGGCCGUAACUAUAACGGUCCUAAGGUAGCGAAAUUCCUUGUCGGGUAAGUUCCGACCUGCACGAAUGGCGUAACGACUUCCCCGCUGUCUCCAACAUCGACUCAGUGAAAUUGAAUUCCCCGUGAAGAUGCGGGGUUCCUGCGGUUAGACGGAAAGACCCCGUGCACCUUUACUAUAGCUUUACACUGGCAUUCGUGUCGGCAUGUGUAGGAUAGGUGGUAGGCUUUGAAGCGGGGACGCCAGUCUUCGUGGAGCCAUCCUUGAAAUACCACCCUUAUCGUCAUGGAUGUCUAACCGCGGCCCGUCAUCCGGGUCCGGGACAGUGUAUGGUGGGUAGUUUGACUGGGGCGGUCGCCUCCGAAAGAGUAACGGAGGCGCGCGAUGGUGGGCUCAGAGCGGUCGGAAAUCGCUCGUCGAGUGCAAUGGCAUAAGCCCGCCUGACUGCGAGACUGACAAGUCGAGCAGAGACGAAAGUCGGUCAUAGUGAUCCGGUGGUCCCGCGUGGAAGGGCCAUCGCUCAACGGAUAAAAGGUACGCCGGGGAUAACAGGCUGAUGACCCCCAAGAGUCCAUAUCGACGGGGUUGUUUGGCACCUCGAUGUCGGCUCAUCGCAUCCUGGGGCUGGAGCAGGUCCCAAGGGUUUGGCUGUUCGCCAAUUAAAGCGGUACGUGAGCUGGGUUCAGAACGUCGUGAGACAGUUCGGUCCCUAUCUGCCGUGGGUGUAGGAAUAUUGACAGGAUCUGUCCCUAGUACGAGAGGACCGGGAUGGACAUAUCUCUGGUGGACCUGUUGUCCUGCCAAGGGCAUAGCAGGGUAGCUAUAUAUGGACGGGAUAACCGCUGAAAGCAUCUAAGCGGG
rnacentral:rRNA from 1 species